GAUGAACGCUGGCGGCGUGCCUAAUACAUGCAAGUCGAGCGAACGGACGAGAAGCUUGCUUCUCUGAUGUUAGCGGCGGACGGGUGAGUAACACGUGGAUAACCUACCUAUAAGACUGGGAUAACUUCGGGAAACCGGAGCUAAUACCGGAUGAUAUUUUGAACCGCAUGGUUCAAAAGUGAAAGACGGUCUUGCUGUCACUUAUAGAUGGAUCCGCGCUGCAUUAGCUAGUUGGUAAGGUAACGGCUUACCAAGGCAACGAUGCAUAGCCGACCUGAGAGGGUGAUCGGCCACACUGGAACUGAGACACGGUCCAGACUCCUACGGGAGGCAGCAGUAGGGAAUCUUCCGAAAAGGGCGAAAGCCUGACGGAGCAACGCCGCGUGAGUGAUGAAGGUCUUCGGAUCGUAAAACUCUGUUAUUAGGGAAGAACAUAUGUGUAAGUAACUGUGCACAUCUUGACGGUACCUAAUCAGAAAGCCACGGCUAACUACGUG
rnacentral:rRNA from 1 species